UACGUAGGGGGCUAGCGUUGUCCGGAAUCAUUGGGCGUAAAGAGCGUGUAGGCGGCUAGGUAGGUCCGUUGUGAAAACUCGAGGCUCAACCUCGAGACGUCGAUGGAAACCAUCUAGCUAGAGUCCGGAAGAGGAGAGUGGAAUUCCUGGUGUAGCGGUGAAAUGCGCAGAUAUCAGGAAGAACACCCGUGGCGAAGGCGGCUCUCUGGUACGUGACUGACGCUGAGACGCGAAAGCGUGGGGAGCAAACAGG
rnacentral:rRNA from 1 species